rnacentral:rRNA from 1 species
GAGGGGAGGGGCGUAGAGGGCCGGUGGACAUGCGUGCUCCUCUAGCUCGCUCGCGGGCUCGCGCGGGCAGGAGCGUCGGAGGAGGGUGAUAAGGGGCGUGAGCUCGGGGUGCUCUCCUCGAGGAGGACACCAAAACGUGCGGCGGCGGCCGCUGGUGGUCGGUGUCGAACGGCCUCGGUCGUUUACCCACGGUGGGAAGAAGAGACAAGAGAAGAAGGGCACGAGAGAAAGAAGGAGGAAAAAGAGAGAGUGUGUAUAACUAAAGAGCGAGACAGAGUUUGUCACGUGAGGCGGCGGUACCCACGAGCGCAGGGGCUGGAACGUCGCGAGACGGGGCUACGGUUCAGGGAGGAAUGGCAAGGACGCGUCGGCUCGGUUUCGGAGCGGGUUCAGGUUCGCGGCGGCGACAAACGGAGGAACGGUACCGGAGGGGACGAAGCAGACGAAGUGGCUGUCUCGAGACAGAGGCAGUUGCACAGGAGGGCGGCAGAGACAAGCGGCGGCCCGAGCUAGCUGAGGUCGUCGUGGGGGUGCCACUACGAAGCGAGCCGUGGGCUCCAAAUUGAAUAAACGUUCGAAGACGAGGUUCUACCGUUAUUGACUACGUAUGAGACGAUAAAGUGGAACACGAUGGCCCUUUUAGUGUACACGACCUACCGAACUCCGUCCGUUUUUACUGUUGCUGCUUCCAUCACGUCAAGUCGCGGUAGGUGAGACCGUAACUUGUGUUUGUCCAGUUGGGACCUCACAUACCGCAACUUGCACAAACAAGGUGGUUUCACGAUUCAAAAAAGUUUAUGGUUUCACGAUUGUACCUUUCACGAUACCUCGUUCUCCAUGGUCUUCCACCUCUUGUUUUCUCACUACAACGAUAACAACGUUUGGAAAAGAGUGAUUUCUUACAGGGAGGUUGUGCAAAGAGGGAGUGACCAACACAACAAAACCAACCACGGUAGAAUACUUGGACACCACAUUACUAUGACGACCCGGAUUGAAUUACUUUAGGACCUCUUAAUGUGAUAAUAAUAGUAAUAUAAGAGUAAACAACCGACUGACCGUUUAACACAUUACAUAAAAAGAAAAACUCUAUGACAACCGACAACACACCAGUGGGAAUUUAUUAUUUAACAUACUCAGCCGAC